CCCAGCGACCGGCGCACGGGUGAGUAACACGUAUGCAACCUGGCCGCCACAGGGGGAUAACCCGCGGAAACGCGGCCUAAUACCCCGUGACGCCACCGGAGGGCAUCCUCCGGUGGCCAAAGGAGCGAUCCGGUGGCGGAUGGGCAUGCGGCGCAUUAGCUAGACGGCGGGGUGACGGCCCACCGUGGCGACGAUGCGUAGGGGUUCUGAGAGGAAGGCCCCCCACACUGGGACUGAGACACGGCCCAGACUCCUACGGAAGGCAGCAG
rnacentral:rRNA from 1 species